rnacentral:rRNA from 1 species
UACGGGAGGCAGCAGUGGGGAAUAUUGCACAAUGGGCGCAAGCCUGAUGCAGCCAUGCCGCGUGUAUGAAGAAGGCCUUCGGGUUGUAAAGUACUUUCAGUCGUGAGGAAGGUGUUAAGGUUAAUAACCUUAGCAAUUGACGUUAGCGACAGAAGAAGCACCGGCUAACUCCGUGCCAGCAGCCGCGGUAAUACGGAGGGUGCGAGCGUUAAUCGGAAUUACUGGGCGUAAAGGGCACGCAGGCGGUUAAUUAAGUUGGAUGUGAAUCCCCGGGCUUAACCUGGGAAUGGCAUUCAAGACUGGUUAGCUAGAGUCUUGUAGAGGGGGUAGAAUUCCAUGUGUAGCGGUGAAAUGCGUAGAGAUGUGGAGGAAUACCGGUGGCGAAGGCGGCCCCUGGACAAAGACUGACGCUCAUGUGCGAAAGCGUGGGGAGCAAAC